rnacentral:tRNA from 2 species
UCCCUGGUGGUCUAGAGGCUAAGAUGCUGCACUCCCAAUGCAGGGGCCCAGGUUCAAUCCCUGGUCAGGGAA